rnacentral:snRNA from 1 species
AUGCUCACUUUGGCAGCACACAUACUAAAAUUGGAACGACACAGAGAAGAUUAGUGUGGCCCCUGCACGAGGAUGACACGCAAAUUCGUGAAGCAUUCCAUAUUUUU